GCGGGCUGAGGCGGGGAGCCAGAGAUGACCGCCGCCGGGGCGGUCAGCGCGGGGCUCGAAGCGCGGAGACGGCCCCUCUGCUCCGUGUCCCCACCCUCCAUCUCGGGUCUAGAAUCUGGCCGCCUCCAGCCGCCCCCACCCCUUGCCCGGCGCACCGUGUUCCACCGCCCGUGAGUGUGACUGGGAUGAUUCUCUGUGAAGCCCGGAUCCAGUCCCCUUCUCCCCGCCCGACACGGAGUAACAAGGGAGAGGUGUGGCCCGCUGGGAGGGAAUCUUGCCCAAGCACUCCUGUUCUCCAGGACCACCUAUGGUUGCAGCCCUCAGUGCCUGCUGCCUGCCUCUUCCCUGGAGGUCAAGGGUCCCGGCAGGGUUGGGAGAAGCCAGGAGGCUGGUGGCUCUCGAGAGAUCUGUGGCUUCCCGUUGAGCAGUCGUCACCCUUCCCUGCCUGAAGCUGAAGGAGGGGGCUGUCCACAGCCCAGGCUGGAUCAGGUGUCAGGAGACGUAAGGAGAUGCGGGUUCAAUCCUUGAGUCGGGAAGACCCAUGGAGGAGGGCAUGGCAACCCACUGCAAGAUUCUUGCCUGGAGAAUCCCAUGGACAGAGGAGCCUGGUGGACUACAGUCCAUGGGAUUGCGAAGAGUCGGACACGACUGAAGUGCCUUAGCACACACGCAAGGGGGUUGUCUGCCCAGGAACUGCCCUGACAGUUGUCUGGUCUGCAGGUGUGGUCAGCCUUCUCCCGCUGGUGGGAAGCCACUGCCUUUCCUGCCACAUGUUCCUCACCAAGAGGAUCUCCCAGCUCCUGGGUGACGCUGUCCAGACCUCCUCAACACCCAGCGCCACCACCCACUUCUUUGGCCAGUCUUUGCCGAGGCUGGUCAGUCUUUGCCGAGGCUGGCCUGUCUUUGGCUCCAGGAUGGCCCGCCAUCCAGUUGGAGCCACAGAUGAAAAGCAAUGCCAGUGUCCAGCUGCCCCAUGUGCCCAGAACCAGCAGCUCUGGAACCCCAGCCCCCGAGUACAUUCUUGCAGUGGGAUCAUUUCGGGGGUGGGGGGGGUGGCACUUUGAUUGGCGUUUACCAAGGCCCUCUCUUGCACCCUUUUCCUUUGAGUUGUUAGUCUUUUCUUAUUGACUGGUUCAAGUUCUCUAUACAUUAAUGAUAUGAGCCC